rnacentral:rRNA from 1 species
GAUGAACGCUGGCGGCGUGCCUAAUACAUGCAAGUCGAGCGAACAGACGAGGAGCUUGCUCCUCCGACGUUAGCGGCGGACGGGUGAGUAACACGUGGAUAACCUACCUAUAAGACUGGGAUAACUUCGGGAAACCGGAGCUAAUACCGGAUAAUAUAUUGAACCGCAUGGUUCAAUAGUGAAAGACGGUUUUGCUGCCACUUAUAGAUGGAUCCGCGCCGCAUUAGCUAGUUGGUAAGGUAACGGCUUACCAAGGCAACGAUGCGUAGCCGACCUGAGAGGGUGAUCGGCCACACUGGAACUGAGACACGGUCCAGACUCCUACGGGAGGCAGCAGUAGGGAAUCUUCCGCAAUGGGCGAAAGCCUGACGGAGCAACGCCGCGUGAGUGAUGAAGGUCUUCGGAUCGUAAAACUCUGUUAUUAGGGAAGAACAAAUGUGUAAGUAACUAUGCACGUCUUGACGGUACCUAAUCAGAAAGCCACGGCUAACUACGUG